GGACUGGCUGUGUUUGUCUCUUGUAUUGUGUGUGUGUGUGUGUGUGUGUGUGUAUACAUAGGAGGCUGUGAGCUAUGAGGGGGCUGUGUGUCUAGUAUUAUGUGUAUGUUCCUGGAAGUGUAUUUUGUGUGUGUGUGCUUCACUGUAUGGGGGUGAGGGCUGCCACUACCACAAAAAAUCAUGUAGCUUUGUGUUGCUGAACAUUAUAAGCUGAGUGUGGGGACAGUGUCCUAUGCUUUCUUAUGAAUCACAGAUUUUGUAUGCCCUCAGUGAUACAAACAUGAUUAUUUGCCAAGAUGAGAAUUGUCAGGAAUUGAACAUAACUGAGCUGAAAUCAUUGUUGGCUUGGAGAAUUUUCCCAGUUUGGCCAUUUUGACCUUAAUCCCUUAGUGACCAAACCAUUUAUCAAUUUCCUUACCAUUAAGGACCAGGGCUGUUUUUACAUUUCUGCAUUGUUUGUGUUUAGCUGUAAUUUUCUUCUUACUCAUUUACUGUAC